CGAAAUACCCAAAAAUCUGAAAUACUCGAUCCGAACCCGAACGGGUACCCGAACGCCCACCCCUCGUACUCUUGCUCCGUUGCUGGUCCGAUUGGGUAUGACAAAAACACCAAAUUUUCAAACUAGACCAAACUAUACUUUCUCUAGAAACCAAAAUGUAUGUUAUUAACAAUGAAUAUUGUUUUUAAUAAACUAAUUGUAGUUUAUUAAUUUUUGUAUCCAAAGCAAACCAACCACAGUCGAACCAGAUAUUUUUUUAUGUUUUAACUAGUAUUUCUCUA
rnacentral:lncRNA from 1 species